CCUACGGGAGGUAGCAGUGGGGAAUUUUGGACAAUGGGCGCAAGCCUGAUCCAGCAAUGCCGCGUGCAGGAUGAAGGCCUUCGGGUUGUAAACUGCUUUUGUACGGAACGAAACGGCGAGCUCUAAUAAAGUUCGCUAAUGACGGUACCGUAAGAAUAAGCACCGGCUAACUACGUGCCAGCAGCCGCGGUAAUACGUAGGGUGCAAGCGUUAAUCGGAAUUACUGGGCGUAAAGCGUGCGCAGGCGGUGAUGUAAGACAGAUGUGAAAUCCCCGGGCUCAACCUGGGACCUGCAUUUGUGACUGCAUCGCUAGAGUACGGUAGAGGGGGAUGGAAUUCCGCGUGUAGCAGUGAAAUGCGUAGAUAUGCGGAGGAACACCGAUGGCGAAGGCAAUCCCCUGGACCUGUACUGACGCUCAUGCACGAAAGACGGUGGGGAGGACGAAACAAGGAGUUAGUAUACCCUACGGUAGUACCGACCGACCCUAAACCGAACUAGUCAACUAGGUUGGUUUGGGUUCGUUCUACU
rnacentral:rRNA from 1 species